AUUGAACGCUGGCGGCAGGCCUAACACAUGCAAGUCGAGCGAGCGGCGGACGGGUGAGUAAUGUCUGGGAAACUGCCUGAUGGAGGGGGAUAACUACUGGAAACGGUAGCUAAUACCGCAUACCAUCAGAUGUGCCCAGAUGGGAUUAGCUAGGUGGUGGGGUAAUGGCUCACCUAGUCGACGAUCCCUAGCUGGUCUUAGAGGAUGACCAGCCACACUGGAACUGAGACACGGCCAAGACUCCUACGGUAGGCAGCAGUGGGGAAGAUGGCACAAGGGGCGCAAGCCUGGUGCAGCCAUGCCGCGUGUGUGAAGAAGGCCGUCGGGUUGUAAAGGACUUUCAGCGAGGAGGCGUUACUCGCAGAAGAAGCACCGGCUAACUCCGUGCCAGCCGCCGCGGUAAGAC
rnacentral:rRNA from 1 species